rnacentral:lncRNA from 1 species
CAAUAGUGAAGAUGUCAAUGAUACUAGAAAGCUUAAACUAGCUAAUAAGGAAACACCUCUAUCCUCAGUUAGUAAAAAGUAGUAUCUCUCAAUCUUCUCUUGGAGGAAUGAGGCCAAAUAGACAUAUUAAGGGUCAUGUAGUAGAAGGAGAUACCCCAUCCUUAGCCAGAAAAUAUUAUGCUCUUAAUCCUCUCUAAGAGAAAUGAGACCAAAUAGAGAAAUUUAGGGGUCAUAUAGUUGAAAGAGACACCUCUAGAAAAUUUUGUGCUCUCAAUCUAGGAAAAAUGAGGCUAAAUAGAAGAAUGGGGGUUAAUGUAAAAAGAAGAUAGGUUAGCCAACAGUUAAAUAAUAUUACUAAAAUGAAUCUUGAAAUUUAAGGCAAAUCAAAACCCAAGUGCCUUCGAUUGAGAUAAUCAACAAAAUGGAAUGAGUUCUAUGAGUGGUUGUGGAGCAUUAUGAUUAGGAUUAGAAUCCCUUGGGGAAGAAAGAUCUCUUUCAAAGAAAAAAGAAAGAUCAUUUAUAUUUGACAUAUCAUGAAAAUGGCUAGAUUCAAUAGAUUUGGUAUUUCAUCAACAAAUCUCAAUUAGGGUGGAAACAAAAUGGCAC